ACUCCUACGGGAGGCAGCAGUGGGGAAUAUUGCACAAUGGGCGGAAGCCUGAUGCAGCAACGCCGCGUGCGGGAUGACGGCCUUCGGGUUGUAAACCGCUUUCGCCUGUGACGAAGCGUGAGUGACGGUAAUGGGUAAAGAAGCACCGGCUAACUACGUGCCAGCAGCCGCGGUGAUACGUAGGGUGCGAGCGUUGUCCGGAUUUAUUGGGCGUAAAGGGCUCGUAGGUGGUUGAUCGCGUCGGAAGUGUAAUCUUGGGGCUUAACCCUGAGCGUGCUUUCGAUACGGGUUGACUUGAGGAAGGUAGGGGAGAAUGGAAUUCCUGGUGGAGCGGUGGAAUGCGCAGAUAUCAGGAGGAACACCAGUGGCGAAGGCGGUUCUCUGGGCCUUUCCUGACGCUGAGGAGCGAAAGCGUGGGGAGCGAACAGGCUUAGAUACCCCGGUAGUCCCAUGA
rnacentral:rRNA from 1 species